GACGAACGCUGGCGGCGUGCUUAACACAUGCAAGUCGAACGGAAAGGCCCUGCUUUUGUGGGGUGCUCGAGUGGCGAACGGGUGAGUAACACGUGAGUAACCUGCCCUUGACUUUGGGAUAACUUCAGGAAACUGGGGCUAAUACCGGAUAGGAGCUCCUGCUGCAUGGUGGGGGUUGGAAAGUUUCGGCGGUUGGGGAUGGACUCGCGGCUUAUCAGCUUGUUGGUGGGGUAGUGGCUUACCAAGGCUUUGGCGGGUAGCCGGCCUGAGAGGGUGACCGGCCACAUUAGGCCUGCGAUACGGCCCAGACUCCUACGGGAGGCAGCAGUGGGGAAUAUUGCACAAUGGGCGGGAGCCUGAUGCGGCGACGCCGCGUGCGGGAUGACGGCCUUCGGGUUGUAAACCGCUUUCGCCUGUGACGAAGCGUGAGUGACGGUAAUGGGUGAAGAAGCACCGGCUAACUACGUG
rnacentral:rRNA from 1 species